AUAUAUACCUGGCAAGAGAGAUACCAUGAUCACGAAGGUGGUUUUCGCAGUGCAAGGUUUAUCCAUUGCACUCUGGAUGUGCUGACCCCUGCAAGUUCCCCAAAUGUGGGAAAUUCGACUGCCUAAUUUGUGGUAGUGGGCGACUACAUUUGACCUCUCCCC
rnacentral:snRNA from 1 species